UGUAUUUAUUAGAUUAAAAACCAAUGCCCUUCGGGGCUCCUUGGUGAUUCAUAAUAACUUAACGAAUCGCAUGGCCUUGUGCCGGCGAUGGUUCAUUCAAAUUUCUGCCCUAUCAACUUUCGAUGGUAGUAUAUGGGACUACCAUGGUUUCAACGGGUAACGGGGAAUUAGGGUUCUAUUCCGGAGAGGGAGCCUGAGAAACGGCUACCACAUCCAAGGAAGGCAGCAGGCGCGCAAAUUACCCAAUCCCGACACGGGGAGGUAGUGACAAUAAAUACUGAUACAGGGCUCUUUUGGGUCUUGUAAUUGGAAUGAGUACAAUUUAAAUCCCUUAACGAGGAACAAUUGGAGGGCAAGUCUGGUGCCAGCAGCCGCGGUAAUACCAGCUCCAAUAGCGUAUAUUAAAGUUGUUGCAGUUAAAAAGCUCGUAGUUGAACCUUGGGCCUAGCCGGCCGGUCCGCCUCACCGCGUGCACUGGCUCGGCUGGGUCUUUCCUUCUGGAGAACCGCAUGCCCUUCACUGGGUGUGCCGGGGAACCAGG
rnacentral:rRNA from 1 species